CAGCCGCCGCGGGAAUACGUAAGUGGCAAGCGUUGUCCGGAAUUAUUGGGCGUAAAGGGCUCGCAGGCGGUUUCUUAAGUCUGAUGUGAAAGCCCCCGGCUCAACCGGGGAGGGUCAUUGGAAACUGGGAAACUUGAGUGCAGAAGAGGAGAGUGGAAUUCCACGUGUAGCGGUGAAAUGCGUAGAGAUGUGGAGGAACACCAGUGGCGAAGGCGACUCUCUGGUCUGUAACUGACGCUGAGGAGCGAAAGCGUGGGGAGCGAACAGGAUUAGAUACCCGAGUAGUCCCUGUCUCUUAUAC
rnacentral:rRNA from 1 species